rnacentral:ncRNA from 1 species
CCCCCUGGCUUGCAGCAUAUUAAUUAGGGGGAGGGGAAGACAUUGUGAGGAUUUUCUUGGUAGCGGCGAGAGCCAAGACAACCGGUCCCCACUAAGGCACGUUGUCUGUAUGGGCCAUAUGAGAUGCAGUGUCUGGAGCUUCCAUUACUCUAGUAUGAGAAAUUAAUGAUUUAAGUCCUUCUUAAAUGAGGGCAUUUACCCAUAGAGGGUGCCGUUAAUGAUUACUAGAUGAUGUUUCCAAAGAGUCGUGUUGCUUGAUAGUGCAGCACUAAGUGGAUGGUAAACUCCAUCUUAAACUAAAUAUAACCAUGAGACCGAUAGUAAACAAGUACCGUGAGGGAAAGUUGAAAAGAAGUCUGAAUAGAGAGUUAAACAGUACGUGAAACUGCUUAGAGGUUAAGCCCGAUGAACCUGAAUAUCCGUUAUGGAAAAUUCAUCAUUAAAAUUGUAAUAUAUAAAUAAUAUUAUUAAGAAUAAUGUGCAUUUUUUCCAUAUAAGGACAUUGUAAUCUAUUAGCAUAUCCCAAAAUUAUCAUAAAAUAUAACUGUUUAGCUAUUGAGCUUUUUCAAUAGCUGUUGCGAAUAAUAAAAAACCGAAGAAAGUUUGUUUUUAUGACGACAGUUUUUAUUUUGCGAAUAGUUUAAGGCAGCUAAGGCCUAAGCUAAGUCUUUUCCGAAACACGACGAAAUGGCAAUUGGCGGGCAGGCUGCCGAAAUGCAGCGCCCAAGCUUAACGUAGGUAGCUAACAACAACAAACAAGGGAUGAGAGCCGUACAGAUAAAUGCGUGCGAGAGCAGCGGUUUGCACUAUGGGCAUCGCAACUGCUACCACUGACUAAUUUGGCUUAAAUAUUAACAAGUAUGAGAUUAGUCUACUGCACAGUUUUGGCGGCUGCAUGACCCAACAUAAUGAGUUAAAUUUUGUUUUCGUUAUAAUGUUUUUCAUCUAUUUGUUCAAUUCUGCCUCUUUUCAUAAAUGGAUUUUUAAAUUUUGAGCGUGUUCCUUGAAUUCAUCGUAUGAGUUUAUGCCGUUUAAUUAUACUUUUUAAAAUUGUUACGUUACUGUUUUUGUUAAUAGUUUCUAAUACGCAUUUUGAAAUAUGA